UACGUAGGCAGCGAGCGUUGUUCGGAAUUAUUGGGCGUAAAGAGCUCGUAGGCGGUGUGUCGCGUCGGCCGUGAAAACCUGCAGCUCAACUGUGGGCUUGCGGUCGAUACGGGCAUCACUGGAGUUCGGCAGGGGAGACUGGAAUUCUUGGUGUAGCGGUGGAAUGCGCAGAUAUCAGGAGGAACACCGGUGGCGAAGGCGGCCUGCUGGGCAGUAGCUGACGCUGAGGCGCGACAGCGUGGGGAGCAAACAGG
rnacentral:rRNA from 1 species